rnacentral:rRNA from 1 species
GUCUUUAUGAAUAUAAUUUAAAGUCAAAUCUGCUCCAUGAUAAAUUAAAUAGCUGCAGAAUUUUAACUGUACAAAGGUAGCAUAAUCAAUAGUUUUUUAAUUAAAAGCUAGAAUGAAUGAUUUAAUAAGGUAAAUAUUGUCUCAAUUUUAAUGGGUAUAGAAUUUUUUUUUUUAUAAAAAAAUUGAAUUAGUUUUAAAAGACGAGAAGACCCUAUAGAUUUUUAUAAUUAUUUUUAUAAUAUAUUUAUAUAAUUAAAUAAAAUUAAAAAUGAAUUAUUAGAUUGGGGAAAUUUUUAAAUUAAUUAAAUUUUAAAUAAAUUUAUACUUAAAUUAAAGAAUAUUUGAUCUUAAUAUUUAAAAUAUAAGAAUAAAUUACCUUAGGGAUAACAGCGUAAUAUUUUUUGGAGAGAUCAUAUUGAUAAAAAAGUUUGCGACCUCGAUGUUGAAUUAAGAUAAAAUAUUAAUGAAGAAGUUAAUAAUUUUUGGUCUGUUCRACCAUUAAAAUCUUACGUGAU